AGCAAUACUCAACUGAUACGGGAAUGUAUCCGAAGCCUCCAGAAGCCUAACAUAGACUCUCCUUUCCCUACUCCUGCUCAAUACGUCCUCGUCGUACAGAACGGUAACAUGCCUCUCAAUUAUCC
rnacentral:ribozyme from 1 species